AAGAAGAGGUCACACCCGUUCCCAUGCCGAACACGGAAGUUAAGCUCUUCAGCGCCGAUGGUAGUCGGGGGUUUCCCCCUGUGAGAGUAGGACAUCGCCAGGC
rnacentral:rRNA from 1 species